AACAGGAUUAGAUACCCUGGUAGUCCACGCUGUAAACGAUGUCGACUUGGAGGUUGUUCCCUUGAGGAGUGGCUUCCGGAGCUAACGCGUUAAGUCGACCGCCUGGGGAGUACGGCCGCAAGGUUAAAACUCAAAUGAAUUGACGGGGGCCCGCACAAGCGGUGGAGCAUGUGGUUUAAUUCGAUGCAACGCGAAGAACCUUACCUACUCUUGACAUCCAGAGAACUUAGCAGAGAUGCUUUGGUGCCUUCGGGAACUCUGAGACAGGUGCUGCAUGGCUGUCGUCAGCUCGUGUUGUGAAAUGUUGGGUUAAGUCCCGCAACGAGCGCAACCCUUAUCCUUUGUUGCCAGCGAUUCGGUCGGGAACUCAAAGGAGACUGCCAGUGAUAAACUGGAGGAAGGUGGGGAUGACGUCAAGUCAUCAUGGCCCUUACGAGUAGGGCUACACACGUGCUACAAUGGCAUAUACAAAGAGAAGCGACCUCGCGAGAGCAAGCGGACCUCAUAAAGUAUGUCGUAGUCCGGAUUGGAGUCUGCAACUCGACUCCAUGAAGUCGGAAUCGCUAGUAAUCGUAGAUCAGAAUGCUACGGUGAAUACGUUCCCGGGCCUUGUACACACCGCCCGUCACACCAUGGGAGUGGGUUGCAAAAGAAGUAGGUAGCUUAACCUUCGGGAGGGCGCUUACCACUUUGUGAUUCAUGACUGGGGUGAAGUCGUAACAAGGUAACC
rnacentral:rRNA from 1 species